ensembl:lncRNA
AUGUCUGAGAGCAUUGUGAGGAAAGUGCAGCCCUUCACCAUCGGGACAAGGCUGUCGGUCCCUUCUGUGACUAAAUGUCAGGAGUUUCAAAGGAGAUUUCUACCCACCGAGCCUCUGGACAAUCGUGUCUUACAGCACAAUCUGAACUCGCUCUACCUCCAUCGGUCCCGGGUCCGAGCACAUGGCUCCUGUCUCGUUGCACCGUUUGUGAAGCCGGAAGCGCACGUUCAACGCAACCACGAGCACAUGGCAGCUGAGGACCACCAGAACCAGAACGUGGCCUCUCCUUCUGCCGUCUCCAGGUCCAUCAAGAAGAUCACCAUCUCUGGGAGUAAAGACCGAUCAGACAAGAAGAGCACAGUGGGCCCAACAGACCUGUCAACAACAGCUGAAAACAAAAACAACAACAACAACAACACAACAGGCUCACCAGACCCACAUCUGCCCAGGAUUGUUGGAGUGAGGUGUGAGAAUAAACCGACCUCUCAGUUUAAGGUUUUGCUCAGUAAAAGCAGCUGUGCCGCCAUUCCUCAAGGAGAAACUUGGGCAAAGCCAAAUGGGGAGAAAUCCUUCCAGAUUUCAGUGCCUGAGCUGCAGAAUCACAGACCCCGGAGGACAGAAAGUCACCCACACAGCGAGGAUGAGGCUCCGGCAGCUGCUAACGCUCUGAGCGACAGCUUCACUCAGCAAAACUCGCUCUUCAACAAAGAAGCGCUGCAGGUGGAAUUUUUUUUCCUCUUAAAAUUUUUAUUUGAAGAUUUAAUUUUUAAACAUUUAUCCAGAACUUACUGAGAAAUUUUGAAAGCAUUUCAAAAUAAAAACAUUUAGUGUGAAAAGAGCCUCUUAAAAGGAUUUAAUCCCUCAAACAUCGUGUGAGGCUACUGCGAUCCAAUCAGAAGCGAAGCUGGCUGUCGCGUGACCUUCCAGUGGGAACAAAAUGUGUACUGGUUCUUAUUUUUGUCUCUGAGCCUUGAGCGGGAUUCGGCUGAGGCAGGAGAGGGAGGGGAAGCCGCCACAACCAGUUAUUUAGAGAUGAGAUCAUUGUUUGGCUCCAUCUCUUCACGCCUAUGGCUCAGAGAAACUCAGCCAAUGAGCAGCAGGACUGGUUGUGUUAUCGCAUCGCAGCGUCCACUCCUGCUCAGGCAGCUAGCUGCAGCAUUCGGGUUCGUCAUCAGGACUCUGCCGAGCAACCGUGCGAGCGACGUGCCGUUUACUUCUAAACACAAGAGUUUAUUUUAAUGUGUCAGCAGGAGGAACGUGUGGUGUGUGUUUUCUUUUGAAUCAUUUGACUUUGCAUCAACCUGGUUGGCAGCUUCUGCAGAUAAACUGUAUUUUUACCGUCUUCCAGCCAGACGGAUCAAGCUGUAGCGGUGCAGCAUGUCUGUUUCAGUUCUGCAAAGUUUCUCGCUUUCCCCCCGUUUCACUCUCAUGGCAGAAAAAAUACCAAACCCUUAACUCCCAAUGUGUGUUCGAAGCCAAAGUUGCAUAUUUGAGAUGCCGUAAAACGUGCAAAAUGAUGGAUUUAUUCAAAAUGUGGAGAUUAGCACACCCGAAUAUCUGAAAUUGUUGCGUUUGGAGAUUUUCUCCUGGUGCUGUCCAAAGCAGCUCAGGAAGAAACCUUCAGAUGGUGCACCGGCCGCGUGGCGUCGUGGCCUGAACGAGGCUUAACUGUAAAGCCUGAUAAACAGACCGUUGUUGUGGAAAGUGGACAGGAAGAAACAAGAGAAUCAUGGACUUCCUGCAUGAGGUCAUUGUGUUGGCAUGGGAGCCGUUGUGAGCAGAUACGAGCAAGCUUGUUUUGUCGAGCUCCUUUCCUUCUGUUCAAGCCAGAAAUACUUCUCCUGCCUGGGGGGCUUUGGGAGGUCACUGACCUUCUCCUUGUGGGGAAAAGUGACGUCAUAUUUUAAUCAAGAGCUAAACUCUGUGGUGGAAGUGUGCACUCUUGAGCCUCUCUGCGUCUCAUUCGAUGACUUAUUUGUGUUUUUAACUUAAAGUGCUGCAGUCGCCUCAGUUUUAGCUGACUUCAUCACCCGUUUCACUCAUGUGGACUCAGUCUGACAGCAUUUAUCAGCCCAUCUAGUUUUUGACACCUCGGAGGCUCGAUGACCUCCACUCUGAAGAAGAACACUUUCCUCUUCAGCCGCCUGGUUUGGCGUUCCUCGUCCGUACGGUGCAAUGCCAGGAGAGGCAGCUUUGUAAGGCUGAGCGUUAUGCAACUGAGUCUGAGCUAAAGCCAAGAGAAACUCUGCUCAGCAUGACACGACGCUGGAGAGCAAAAACCUUUCAUCGAGACUCUGAACAGGGGACUAAUGGAGUCUGCUGGAUAAGAAGAGAAGCAAUCACAAGCGUUUGUUGUGAAUUUGCUGUUUAGAGAUUCUGCUAGGACCAAAUGCAGGACCGUGCCAACAGUUAAGAAAUAUAAGAAGUAAUGACCAUUUUAACAUUUUGUCCCUCUUGCUAUUAUAACAGCUAAAGUUAAUAUUUAAUAUCUAUAAAUAUAGACUUUUGCCACCUAUAUUUAGCCAAAUUAAGAAUUUAGCAGCAUUUUUUCAUGUUUAAUUUUAAUUUUAAACACCAAAUUUUGCCAUUUUUGGAAAUUAACAGCACUUUUGCUUUAAUUAAGCAGCCAUCAAGUGAGACUGCAUUUCCCCAGCUAGUUAGCCACUUUUUGCCUUUUUUCUGGGUAAACUUUGGCAUGGGCUGCACAGUGGCGCAGUGGUUAGAGCUGUUGUCUUGUAGCAAGAAGGUCCUGGGUUCGAUUCCCAGCCUGGGAUCUUUCUGCAUGGAGGUAGCAUGUUCUCCCUGUGCAUGCGUGGGUUCUCUCCGGGUUCUCCGGCUUCCUCCCACCGUCCAAAAACAUGACUGUUAGGUUGAUUGGUCUGUCUAAAUUGUGUGUGUGUGUGUGUGUGUGUGUGUGUGUGUGGUUGUUUGUCCUGUGUGUCUCUGUGUUGUCCUGCGAUGGACUGGCUCUCUGUCCAGGGUGUACCCCGCCUGGUUGCCCGUUGACCGCUGGAGAUAGGCACCAGCCCCCCUGCGUGAACAAAGCGGGUUCAGAAAAUGGAUGGAUGGAUAAACUUUGGCAUAUUUAACAAUUCAACAGUUGCAUGUUGCCAUAUUUGACAUUUCAAACACAAAAAUUUGCCAUAUUUGAAAUUUAACAGCACUUUUGUUCUAUUUGAGAUGCAAUUUGGUCAAAGGCGGCGUUACCAGCUACAAAUAUCUACAAACUGUGGCUAACUGUAGGCGACAACUAGCCACAUUCAGAAUCUUAACACCCAUGGAUGUAAUUUUCACUUUAGAAGUGG